rnacentral:rRNA from 1 species
AUUGAACGCUGGCGGCAGGCCUAACACAUGCAAGUCGAACGAGUGGCGGACGGGUGAGUAAUGUCUGGGAAACUGCCCGAUGGAGGGGGAUAACUACUGGAAACGGUAUCUAAUACCGCAUACCAUUGGAUGUGCCCAGAUGGGAUUAGCUAGUAGGUGGGGUAACGGCUCACCAAGGCGACGAUCCGUAACUGGUCUGAGAGGAUGAUCAGCCACACUGGAACUGAGACACGGUCCAGAUUCAUACGGGAGGCAGCAUUGGGGAAUAUGGGACAAUGGGGGAAAGCCUGAUCCAGCCAUGCCGCGUGUGUGAUGAAGGUCUUCGGAUUGUAAAGCACUUUAAGUUGGGAGGCGUUACCAGCAGAAUAAGCACCGGCUAACUUCGUGCCAGCAGCCGCGGUAAUUC